UAACUAAGCGGAGGAAAAGAAACUAACCAGGAUUCCCUCAGUAAGGGCGACUGAAGCGGGAACAGCCCAGAUUGUAAAUCGAAAGUUGCAUGCAAACUUUUGAGUUGUAGUCUACAGAGGCGACGCCAGACAAGCAAUGGGAGUAAGUCCUUUGGAACAGGGCAUCAGAGAGGGUGACAAUCCCGUCCCUCCCUGCGCACGUCGUACGGCGCGUCUUCAACGAGUCGAGUUGCUUGGGAUUGCAGCUCUAACCAGGUGGUAAAUUCCAUCUAAGGCUAAAUACGGGUGGGAGACCGAUAGCGAACAAGUACCGUGAGGGAAAGAUGCAAAGAACUUUGAAAAGAGAGUUAAAAAGGGCCUGAAACUGGUAAGAGGGAACCGAACGGCCGAAGUGUUUUUGMCUGCCCAUUUAUGUCGAGCUUUCGAGGUCGGCUGUGUGGUCAGUCUCAAGUCASUCCAUAUCGUGGUGUGGGAGUCGGCAGGUGCAGGGCUUCGGCCAUUCUGUAUUUCGUCAGGCCGUACCGAAGACUUGGUUUGACAAAAUUCGUCUGUUCAUCCCG
rnacentral:rRNA from 1 species